rnacentral:rRNA from 1 species
AACGAACGCUGGCGGCAGGCCUAACACAUGCAAGUCGAACGCGCGUAGCAAUACGCGAGUGGCGCACGGGUGAGUAACACGUGGGAACCAACCCAGAGGUUCGGAAUAACCGCGGGAAACUGCGGCUAAUACCGGAUAUCCCCACCGGGAAAGGGGAAUUAUUUCGCCGUCCUUCGGUACGGGGGACCCCGGGGCCCCGGUCCCGGUACCGUUAAGUUACGUACGUUUAGGGUUUGGGUAGGGUAAAGGUUAAGGUCGGUCCUAACCCAAACCGGAACGGGACCGGAACGUACGGUUACGGGUACGUCGGUUCGGUUCGUA